ensembl:lncRNA
CAUACAUGUACCACUUUAAAAACUAAGCCUCAGUUUCCUCAUCUGUACAAUGGGGAUUAUUAUCUCCACUCUCUCCAUCUCAUUUGAUCCUCACAGUUGUGUGAGGUAAAAUAAGUGAAGCUGCUUUGUGGGGGUACUUUCCUUUGUGAUAACGCCCAUCAUUAGUAGCCUCUAAUCAUGGUGUAGGGACAGAACACAGGCUCUGUAUUCCGGAAGUCCUGGAUUCAAAUCCUAGCUCUUGGGGGAAAUUAGCUAAUUCCAGAAUGUCUUUGAUCCUUGGUUUCCUCCUCUGUAAAUGGAAUCCUGUCUGGAAGAGCCCCUGAAAAAUGUCUGUACCUUUUCAUUCACCACUUUGUGCCACUUUAGGUGUUGGUGCUUUUCCCAGUAAUUGAGAGAAUGGAUGAGACGUACGAGUGAGUUUUCCCUAUGGGACAGCAUAGCAGUUUCUUGUCCUACAGUUUCCAAUUCACGAAUGGCUUUACUUUAACAAAAUGACAGAUAAUGAGAGGGAAAGUAGUGUUUGAAUGCUUAGACGCCUGUUCUCUCCGAUGUCGCAAUGUUGUCAAGAACUAUCUUUAUUCCCUGAUUGUCCUGGAGAAGAGAAACAUAAAAGCCUUAUUCAUGGUUUUAAUUCUCAUUCCAGAGAGGAACAGUGGGUUCUUUCUCCAGUCAUUCUGUCCUUACUGGGGAGGAGCCCAGGGACAUAUUUCAUAGCUAAGUCAACUGCUUUUCUUCAAAUUCAGAUUUAAUCCUUGAGCAAAAUGAGUCACUGGCUCAUCCAGUUAAGAUCAUCACCCACUUUCCUAACAAAACUUCUCUUCAAAGGAGGACUCGCUCACCCAUCAGGUAUAGAACUUGAAAGAAUGACCUAUGAAAUGUCCUACAUGCUAAUUUCCAUCUCAAAGCCCACUUUCCAAGGAACCCAACCUGCAGCAUACUAUCUUUCUGAACCUGAAGGUGAACUUUCCAACUCCGUAGAGAAAAGUCGUGGAAAAAGAAAUGAAUGUAACUGGCAUGUGGUUGUAGUCAGAAUAUGUUCCUCUCAUAAAUUAAAUAGCAAAUGGACAGAUCCAAGAUCCAACUUUCAAAGAUGCACCAGACUGGAGAACAUCUUUUUGGCUUUGAUUCAAAAUCAUGAGCAUGCGAAAGGAAAAGCAUAUACAGUGACAAAAACAAACAAAUGAACUAUAACUGUAUAUUUGUUUUAACUAUUUUCUUAAUUGGGGAAAUCUUCUUCACCAAAAGUAUGCACACACAGGUUGCCACAUCUGACCAGUGUGAAAAGCAGAGCUUCAGAUGAUGUUUUCCGUCCAGCCUGUGGCCAUGCACAGAGAGAUGGGUGUUCUUUGGUUCUGAUUCUGUGCAAAUGCGUCCCAUCUGGUGUGAACUGUUCAGCACCUGCCAGAACAACUUUCUAAGAAAGGAGGAAUUUAAGAGGGGCUUUUGCAAAGUCAGCAAGUAAACCUUUCAGCAGUUUGGAAGAUGUUUUGGCAGGGCUGGGGGUGUAGGGCCCUAGUUACUGACUGGAGGUGGGAAUGUGAUUAGAAAGUUCCCACCUGCAGGGCUGAGCAAGCAGACAUAUGCUAAUCUUUAUUUACAUCAAGACGAAAUGGUUCUUAAGUGCCUCUUACUUUAAACGCAAUGCCAGGACACAGGCCUAUGUGCUCCUAGGGUAUGAACACCACUAAUAUUUCUAGAUGUUCAUAGGCUGAAGUCAGACCCCAUGAAAUCACAGAUCCCUCGGCUUGAUGCCUUAAUAGAACCUCAGUUUUUGAUAAUGCCACUUGAUGCUCAAAAGCAAAGCCUUCCCUGGCUAUACACUGGCUCAUGGUGUUCUCUUCAAGGUCCUCCAUAACUGAGCCUGGAGGAAGACAUUCAUGUUGCCCACUAGCAUUUCUGUUCUCCUCCUAGGAGCAUGGAGUGAUCGUCCUUCCAUCUCCUUCAAAUCAGGCAAGACCAUGGGAUUUGGUUUGGCCAGUAUGAUGUGAAUAGAAGUGACAUCGAUUAUUUCUGAGUGCAAAUGUUAAAAACUGAAGUCAUUCUCCGUGGUUCCUCUGGUUGAUGUAAGAAGACUUUGAUUGGAGUCUUGGUUUUGCUACUUAUUAACUGUGUGAUUUUAAGGUUCAGAGAGGCUAUUAACUUACUCAGUUUUCACCUUUAGAGACCAAAAACAAAAUAAUAUUUGCCAUACACAGUGGUUAUUUCGUUUGCUCCCACCACCCCAACACGUCAACCACAUUAGAACCCUUACUUUUGCCUCCAGAUGCCCUGCAUUUUAGACAAGCAGUAUUUCCUGAAUUCUUUGUUUUAAACCUGAGUUUUUGAUGAAUUACAAUAUCACAGGACAAAUUAUUAGGACUCUGUCAGAAAGCAGCCUGGAGUUUAUAUAUGUCAAAGAAGCUGAUUUUGGCUUGUAAACUGAAAGAAGUAAGCAUUCCUGAAAGUCAGAAAGAUGAAUGGAUUAAAAGUAUGAAAAUAUGAAAAUAAAUGCUUUAAAACCAAGCUCUCUUACAUGUAUAGAAUGCUAAUAUUUAAUGAAAAGCAAACACUUCAGUGGUUUUUACCUUCAAUACUUUAAUAGUAUGCUUGAUUUAGUCGUUCAUUCAAAAAUAUUUACCAAGUUACUACCAUGUGCCGGGGAGUGCAUGAGGCACUGGGGAUAAAGCAAUGAACAAGACAGCUAAGGUCCCUAUCUUUAAAGUAUUUGUGUUUUAGGAAAGAGAAACAGAUAGUAAACGAGUAGGUAACAAAUACACAUGCUGCUUUCAGGUGAUGAAAACUAUUAUGGAGGAAGUAGACCUGUCUGCCAGAGAGGGAUGGUGCUGUCCUACCUACUCAGUCUGGGUCAUCAGGAAGACCUCUUGCAGGGGUGAUGGGUUUGUUGAGCCCUGAAGCUGAAGACCAGCCAAGGGAAUAUCCUAGGGAAGCGGGGAAAGCAAGUAAAAGACUUUGACAUGGGAAAGGGUUUGGAGGGAUGAGAAGGGAGGUCAUCAGGACUGAAGCAGCAGGGGAGAGAGGGAGGAGAGAAUGUGUAGAAUAAGAUGAGAGGGUGGGUGGGUGGAUAUGGCCCAGAGUAUGCAGGACCUGCAGGGUGCAAUAAGAGGUUAGAACGUGAUUCAAAUUGCAAUGUGAUGAUGUGAAACCAUUGUAGGCUUUCUUUUUUCUGCUUUUAAAAAUUGAGGUGUAACUCACACUUAGCAAACUGCAUAUAUUUAAAGGAUGUAAUUGUAUAAGUUUUGACAUAUGUAUACGUACAUGAAACCAUUUCCACAGUCAAGAUCGUGGACAUAUUCAUCACCCUCGAAACUUUUCUUAUGCUGCUUUAUAACCCCUUCCUCCUAGCCUCCUCUUCUUGACUCCCCACCCAUCCUAGGCUGCCACUGAUCUGCUUUCUGUCACUAUAAAUUGGCUUAAUAUUUUAAAAACUUUUAAAAUUGAUAAUAGUUUACAUAUUUUUGAUGUACACAUGCUAUCUUGAUAACUCUAUAUACAAUGUGUAGUCACCAAAUCAGGGUAAUUGGGAUAUUUAUCACCUCAAACAUUUUUCUUUUCUUUGUGUUGGGAACAUUACAAUUCUUCUAGCUGUUUUGAAAUAUAUUGGAAGGCUGAGAUAUGUGGAGCACAACGUCAGGAGUUCGAGACCAGCUUGGCCAACAUGGUGAAACCCUGUCUCUACUAAAAAUACAAAAAUUAGCCGGGCGUGGUAGUGCGCGCCUGUAAUCCCAGCUACCCAGGAGGCUGAGGCAGGAGAAUCACUUGAGCCUGGGAGAUGGAGGUUGCAGUGAGCUGAGAUUGUGCCACUGCACUCCAGGCUGGGUGACAGAGUGAGACUCCAUCUCAAAAUAAAAAAAAAAAAAAGAAAGAAAGAAAGAAAGAAAUAUACAAAUAUACAAUAAAUUAUUGUUAACUAUAAUUUUUCUACUGUACUAUUUAAUACUAGAACUUGUUCUUCUAACUGUAGUUUUGUACCUCUUCACCAACCUGUCUUUAAUCUACCCUCCCAUCUUCCCAUCCCAGUCUUGGUAAGCACUAUUUUACUCUCAACCUCCGUGAGAUCUGCCCUGUUAGUGCCCACGUAUGAGUGAGAACAUGCAAUGUUUGUCUUUCUGUGCCUGCUUAUUUCACUUUAUCUAAUGACCUCCAGUUACAUCUAUGUCGCUGCAAAGGACAGGACUUCAUUUUUUUUUAUGGUUGAGUAAUAUUCUGUUAUGUAUAAUUACAUUUUCUUUAUUCCCUCAUCAUUGAUGGGCACUUACAUUGAUUCCAUAUUGUGGCUAUGGUGAAUAGUGCUGCAAUACACAUGAAAGUGCAGAUAUACUGACUUCCCUUUUUUUUCUUUUUGGAUAGAUAUCCAGCAGUGGGAUGCUGGAUCAUAUGGUAGUUCUAUUUUUAGUUUUUUGAGAAAUAUCUAUACUGGUUUCCAAAAUGGCUAUACUAAUUUACAUUUCUACCAACAGUGUAUGAGCAUUCCCCUUUCUCCACAUUCUUGACAACAAUUUGUUAUUUUUCAUCUUCUUGAUAAUACCCAUUCUAACUGAGGUGAGAUGGUAUAUCAUUGUGGUUUUGAUUUGCAUUUCUUUGAUGAUCAAUGAUUUUGAACACUUCUUAAUAUACCUGUUUGCCAUUUGUAUGCCUACUUUUGAGAAACAUCUAUUCAGGUCUUCUGCUCAUUUUUAAAUCAGAUUAUUAUUAUUAUUAUUUUGCUGCC